rnacentral:rRNA from 1 species
UACGAAGGGGGCUAGCGUUGUUCGGAAUUACUGGGCGUAAAGCGCGCGUAGGCGGUUUUGCAAGCCAGAGGUGAAAUGCCUGAGCUCAACUUAGGAAUUGCCUUUGGGACUGCGAGGCUUUGAGGACUGGAGAGGUGAGUGGAAUUCCCAGUGUAGAGGUGAAAUUCGUAGAUAUUGGGAAGAACACCAGUGGCGAAGGCGGCUCACUGGCCAGUUUCUGACGCUGCAGCGCGAAAGCGUGGGGAUCAAACAGGAUUAGAUACCCUGGUAGUCCACGCUGUAAACGAUGAGUGCUAGGCGUCGGCACGCUUGCGUGUCGGUGCCGCAGCUAACGCGUGAAGCACUCCGCCUGGGGAGUACGGUCGCAAGAUUAAA